rnacentral:rRNA from 1 species
UACGUAGGGUGCGAGCGUUGUCCGGAAUUAUUGGGCGUAAAGGGCUCGUAGGCGGUCUGUCGCGUCGGGAGUGAAAACUCAGGGCUUAACCCUGAGCCUGCUUCCGAUACGGGCAGACUAGAGGUAUGCAGGGGAGAACGGAAUUCCUGGUGUAGCGGUGGAAUGCGCAGAUAUCUGGAGGAACACCGGUGGCGAAGGCGGCAUCCUGGACCAAUUCUGACGCUGAGGAGCGAAAGCCAGGGGAGCGAACGGG